rnacentral:tRNA from 1 species
UGUCCUUUAGCACAGUUGGUAGUGCGUCCGACUGUUAGUUUCGGCUCACUCUGUGAGCUGAGUUGCGGUAUCGGGAGGUCAACAGUUCAAGCCUGUUAGGGACA